GACGAACGCUGGCGGCGUACCUAAUACAUGCAAGUCGAGCGGACUUUCAAGAAGCUUGCUUUUUGAAAGUUAGCGGCGGACGGGUGAGUAACACGUGGGCAACCUGCCUGUAAGACGGGGAUAACUCCGGGAAACCGGGGCUAAUACCGGAUAAUAUCUUUCUUCGCAUGAAGGAAGGUUGAAAGGCGGCGCAAGCUGCCGCUUGCAGAUGGGCCCGCGGCGCAUUAGCUAGUUGGUGAGGUAACGGCUCACCAAGGCGACGAUGCGUAGCCGACCUGAGAGGGUGAUCGGCCACACUGGGACUGAGACACGGCCCAGACUCCUACGGGAGGCAGCAGUAGGGAUUCUUCCGCAAUGGACGAAAGUCUGACGGAGCAACGCCGCGUGAGCGAAGAAGGUCUUCGGAUCGUAAAGCUCUGUUGUCAGGGAAGAACAAGUACCGUUCGAAUAGGGCGGUACCUUGACGGUACCUGACCAGAAAGCCACAGCUAACUACGUGCCAGCCGCCGCAGUAA
rnacentral:rRNA from 1 species